UACGUAGGGUGCAGGCGUUAAUCGGAAUUACUGGGCGUAAAGCGUGCGCAGGCGGUCUGCUAAGAGAUAUGUGAAAUCCCCGGGCUUAACCUGGGAACUGCGUUUCUAACUGGCAGGCUUGAGUGUGGCAGAGGGGGGUGGAAUUCCACGUGUAGCAGUGAAAUGCGUAGAGAUGUGGAGGAACACCGAUGGCGAAGGCAGCCCCCUGGGCUAACACUGACGCUCAUGCACGAAAGCGUGGGGAGCAAACAGG
rnacentral:rRNA from 1 species